rnacentral:RNase_P_RNA from 1 species
AGACAAUCGCUGAACCUUCAGAGGAAAGUCCAUGCUCGCACAUCCUGCGAUGGAUGUAGUGAUUAUGCCAAGUCAAACAAUAAGCUUGGGCAGCUGCGGCUGACGGCUGGUGCGUUUCCUAAAGAGAAAUCCAUGGAAACAGCCUGUAAAAGUGUCAAAGAGACGAGCUGUGCAGAAAUGUACAGGUGGAACGCGAUAAACCCCAUAAGCGAGAAACCCAAAUUUGGUAGGGGAACCUGCAAUAACGAAAUGAAGUGAUUUGCGGGGCAGAAAUGCAGAUAAAUGAUUGUCCAGUACAGAACAUGGCUUAUU